CUAGCACUUCCUUCCUGCCAUGUGGAACUUGCUUCCUGGUGUUGGAGGAGAGAGGAGCUUGUUCAGCCCAGUCUGGAGUGGCAUGCUCUUCUUGGUUCAGCUGGAAGACACAAGCUUCUUAAGGUCAGACUUUGCUGCCACCUAUUGGGACAAGCACAGAUACUGCACCCAACAAUCUCCUUUUGUGUCCUGAUAAGAUGGUUUUCAGCAUAUGAAUUCAACAUGAUUUUCCAAACUUGCAGAGCUGCUUUUUGGACAACCUUCCUUGAACCAGGUCAGUCCAAAAGGUAUCAUUGGAUAAACUGUUUUUCCCAAAGCUCCUUGGGUAAAUUCUCUCCCAUCGAUCA
rnacentral:lncRNA from 1 species